rnacentral:rRNA from 1 species
UUAAGCAUAUAAUUAAGGGGAGGAAAAGAAACCAACUCGGAUUCCCCUAGUAACGGCGAGUGAAGCGGGAAGAGCUCAUGUUGUAAAUCUCCAGCUUGCUGGCGAAUUGUAGUCUAAAGGUGCGUGCUCAGUCGUGGUCCCGGGCUAAGUCUGUUGGAAAACAGCAUCAUGGACGGUGACAAUCCGGUUCUUGCCUGGGGUCCCGCGGCGUACGAGCCGUUUCCGACGAGUCGUGUUGCUUGGGAUUGCAGCACUAAGUGGGUGGUAAAUUCCAUCUAAAGCUAAAUAUUGGUGGGAGACCGAUAGCGAACAAGUACCGUGAGGGAAAGAUGAAAAGACUUUUGAAAAGAGAGUAAAAUAGUACCUGAAACUGCUGAAAGGGAAGCGAUUGAAGUCAGUGUUGCUCCUGGUCUUUUUGCCGUCGCCCCCGUGGGGGUUGCGGCGUGGGGCCUGGAGCGUUUCAACAUGCGUUCUGUUCCGCGGGAAAUGUUCAGUGUGCUGGAACCUUCGGGGAAACGCACUGUUCUUGUCGUGGUUAGGACGGAGGACCUUUGCUCCUUUGACUGCGCGUUCCUCUCUCGGGUAUGCUGGUGUCUACUGCUUGCAGUUUUCAUUUUCAUGCUUGCGACUGUGCGUGUUAUUCAUGAGCGAACAUGAUGUUGAAGAAAUGGCUUUAAAUUACCCCGUCUU